AAGACGAGAGCAACAUGGCGGAGACUCCACUCCGGCCGGGCCUGGGAGAGGGUCAGGCCGGGGCGGGAUCAGGCCUUAGCAACCGACAUCAGUCCUUAGCAACCGCUGCCGGACCUUUUAUACCACCCUGCAGCUUCUUUAAGCCCGGAGACUACAUUUCCCAGAGAGCCGCGCGGGGCCAGGAUGUACGUAACGCGCAGGCGCCCGGGCAUUUCUGCGUUAUAUAAGGAAGGUUCGCGGCCUCUCUUCCUCUUUUUCGCCCCUGCCACUUGCGGGAUUCGUUUUUCUCGUCCUCCAUCCGCAGCCAUCGUGGUCCUGGAAUGCCGCUUAUUGGAUUGCUUCUGGAAGGAGGAGGGAGGCAUGUUACAGGGAUUUUGGAGACCUGGAUGUGUAGGCUCCAUGCCCCUAUGUUGGCUUCUUUUCUGAUGUCAUCAGACUUGCUAUGCUGCAUUCCAGCCACUUGAUUUGGAUCAGAUUGUUGGAGUUCCCUAACAGUCCCUGGGAAGAUUGGCUUGCUCUUGCAAUGAGCAGAAGGUUAGGAUUCCAGUGAUGUCUAAUACCAUACAGACCCAAAGGACCUCAAAGGACCCAGCUCUUAUUAAAGGAAUGUAAAACUGGUGGAUGACUAAGUGGAAUGAAGUGAAGCUUGGAGACUUGAAAAUUUUGAAGUGUGGCCUUAGAUGAGGAGAGGCAGCCUUUGUUUGUGAUCAAGAAACAUGGACUUGACUGUUCCAGCUGUUAUUAGGAUAAAAUAGUCUUGUUUUACAUUUUGCAAAUAAAAAAGUAUUUGACCAUCA